rnacentral:rRNA from 1 species
GACGUAGGGGGCCAGCGUUGUUCGGAAUUACUGGGUGUAAAGGGCUCGUAGGCGGUGCGGCAAGUUGGGUGUGAAAUCUCUGGGCUUAACCCAGAGGCUGCUUCCAAAACUGCUGUGCUUGAGUGUGGGAGAGGCGCGUGGAAUUGCAGGUGUAGCGGUGAAAUGCGUAGAUAUCUGCAGGAACACCCGUGGCGAAAGCGGCGCGCUGGACCACUACUGACGCUGAGGAACGAAAGCUAGGGGAGCAAACAGG